UUCCCAAGCGCUCAUUGCAGGAUCUUUCUAGCAGUUCCCGAGUCGGUUCCUCCAGUCUACUGUGCCAGGGAAAACCUGCUAACCAAACUUAACAGAACCGUGCAAGAGCAAGAGACAAGCACCUGCAGGUUUCUUGACUCAACAUAUUCUCCAACCCAAACAAGAAACUUACAUGUUUAAAUUUGGAAUCAAACAUGGGUCUGCUGGAGCGAGACCUGCAGAUGAGGUGUCUCAUUAUUUGUUUGCUGGCUUCAGACUUGCCCGAUCCUCUUUCUCCACUAAAAGAAAACAGAGAGAGAAAACCUAAGUUUACUGUUUUGGAGAAUGUAGUAAACGAUCCAAUGAGCAGAGAUGCUGGGAAGACAUGUGAAUUUAACGCCAACAUCUCUAAAUGCUGGGACAUCAUAUCAAUGGGAUGCGAGUCUGCCAUCCAAUGCCUCACAGGGUAGAACCACACACGUAGGUGAAUUACAGUAGAAAGGGGUCAGGCUGAAAAGAAAAACAAUGACUACUUGUCCUCAGCUUUGUAAAUGAAGGAAAGACAUUACAUCUUCCUUGGGAGACCCAUGAAAUCUUUCUAAGCUUCCCUUGUCUUCUCUUCAAAAUGAACAUAAAGCAAGCAACUCCUGAAACUAAGUGGUUAAGAUGGUCAGAUGUGACCAGAGAUUCUGUUCACAGCUAACAAGGUGCCCAGAGGUGGAAGAAACCAGGGAAGACUUCCCCAUGAGGUGGGGGUUGAGCUGAUUCUUGGAGAAGGGGUAGCGUGGAAGGCAGUGAUUAUUCAACAAGAAAUUCUCAACCAGGACUUCCCGAGCACAUACUAUGCAACCUGAAACAGGGGGUGAGUCUACAAGGUGGAUGAGGCCAGCAGUCUGCGGACACGAAGACCCCAGAGACCUGUGAGGAUGUGCGGCUGAGCUGCCCCCCUCCUCCCACCACAGCGCUCACUCUAUCAGGACAGGUAGGAAUAGAGAAAAUGGCCGUCAGUUCUCUUAGCUGGCUAAAAUCCCAUGCAUUUUAGCCAUAUCAUAAAAUCUCAAAAUGGCCAUAUUCCAUUUAAACUCUGAGUAACAUACAAGGAAAUAAAAUAAAAAAAAAAAAGACAUGCGAUAUGUUAGGAUAGGGUUGAGUGUUAGCUCAGUGUGUUCAAGAAACAUUCCUUGACCUGCAAAUCCAGACUGUGAUUCAAUUAGAAAUUGACCAGAGAUUUUGGGUGGUGCCAAUCAGGACCCAUAAGAAUUUUAAAACUCAUCUGAUCAGUCUUGUCUGCUAAAUCUGCACGUGAUAAAGGCAGACCCUAGGCUGCGUAUUUCCCAAGUUACCUGUAUGUUCAGCAUGUAACGUUAAUUUAGAUUUGCUCCACACACUGUUAGGAUAAUGGAUUUUUGUCACAUGUGCUCUAACAACUAAUUAAAACCAUCUAUCAGGGCCUCCAGAAAAUUAAAGAUAAGAUAGAUGAUGGUGAACACCAAACUCUCAGUUAUAACCCAGGACCAAGUUCUGAAAAUUAUUAAAAAAUUAUUCCUCAAGAUGAAGCCUAGUGCGCUAGUAGGGCCUAUAAUUAUCAACAAAGUGAAAAAUAAAAUUAAAAUUUGAAAAUAAAAUUUAAAAAGUCCCACCCUAGUCCUAAGUUACAGGAUGGCUAUUCCAGGAAUAUCUGUGUUUUGAACUCCAAGUCUUAAAUUAUCCUUUGUAAAUGCUGGUUGUAAGAUAGAAUAGACUCUCUUGGGGCGCCUGGGUGGCUCAGUCAGUUAAGCAUCCAAUUCUUGGUUUUGGCUCAGGUCCUGAUCUCAGGGUCGUGAGAUGGAGCCCCACAUAGGGCUCUGCGCUCCCCGAGGAGUCUGCUCAAGACUCUCCCUCUCCCUGUGCCCCUCCCUCCCGCUCUCUCUCAAAAAUAAAUAAAUCUUUUAAAGACACAACAGACUCUCAAAAAUUAUCUUUAAACAAUGUAUUCAGCUGACUUCUAAAUUUACUAAUUUUAAUGAAUUAGUAUAAUAAAUGCAGAAAACCUUUAUCUUAGUCAAGACAAUCAAGGAGAUAGAAAAGCCACAUAAAAACAUCAAUCCUGAAAGAAGAAAGAGAAUGACUAAAAUAGUAAGUCCUUGUGAUCACAGAUUUGUUCUUCAUUUCUUGAAACCUGAACGAAGAAAUAUUUUUUUUUUUAAGAAAAACUGGUUGAUACAUGGCAUUAUUAGCCUUUAAAAAUGCCCCGAAGAAAUACUGCUUCUGCAGAAUAUUAACAAGUCCUACUGGAAAAGCAAUUCCAUGGGCAAAUUCACGUAGAAAGCACUGGGUUACAGAUAAACAGGUUUAUUUACUGAAAGAACUUGCUGGAUACUGUAAAAUCUGUAACAGGCAGAUUCCCAAAGGAUACAAUUCAUUGGCAACUCAGAACUUUGCUAUGGACCAAUGUCUUUCAAAAGAAUUGAGUGGAUUCAAUAAGAAUUUAGGAAAAUCCGUGGAUCUGUGGCCAUCAUUUUAGGGAGGCCCGGGUGAGCCGCUGGAAAGCUCCUUGGGGUAGCCGCAGGGGGCCGGCCAUGCACUCGUGGGUAAGCUUCAUUCAGGCCCAGAAGCCAGACUAUGGGCUCCCAUCCCACAUAUAGCAUCCACUGGAUCCUACACUAAUUAAUCACCAUUUACUAAUUCACAUUAUGGGGCUCACAUCCCAGAUUCACUAUUCACUAAUUGAAGACCCUAGACUAAUGAGUUACUCCUCCUAAUACACAGUCACCUGACACAUAAAAUCGUGAUGCUAAUAAUAAUACCAAUCUUAGAAGAUUGCUAAAGCAAUGGGUAAGGGAAUAUGUGGAAAGCACCUAGUGGAGGGUCUGGCACUUACUAAGUUCUCAGUAAACAUUAGUUGUUAUUACCACACUGGUACAACAUGCCCCACAGUCUCAUGAUUUUUUUAAAAGUGUUCCCCUUUUUGGUCAAAGUUAGACUAGACAAUUGGACAGAUAAAGCAGAUGAAAACACAGUUGCUUGAUUCAAGAACGGCUGGGGCCACCCUGCCCCCAGAGCCUCUCCUUCCCUGGGGACUCUUCAGAACAAGGGUGAAAACAACCACUUGCUCACAAUUUUGAAAACCAGAACACUGACGUUUGCAAGCCAUCUAUCUGACCCUCUCUGGAACUUUUUGAUCAAAUUGAUAAUGUAAAAGUGUGUAAGUAAGUGCUUAAGUAUUUAAAUGUCUUUUGGGGGCGCCUGGGUGGCUCAAUCGUUAAGCGUCUGCCUUCGGCUCAGGUCAUGAUCCCAGCGUCCUGGGAUGGAGCCCUGCAUCGGGCUCCCUGCUCAGCGGGAAGCCUGCUUCUCCCUCCCCCACUCCCCCUGCUUGUG